rnacentral:rRNA from 1 species
GGACCCGCACAAGUAGUGGAGCAUGUGGUUUAAUUCGAAGAUACGCGCAGAACCUUACCAACACUUGACAUGUUCGUCGCGACUCUAAGAGAUUAGAGUUUUCGGUUCGGCCGGACGGAACACAGGUGCUGCAUGGCUGUCGUCAGCUCGUGUCGUGAGAUGUUGGGUUAAGUCCCGCAACGAGCGCAACCCUCACUUUUAGUUGCCAUCAUUUAGUUGGGCACUCUGAAAGAACUGCCAGUGAUAAGCUGGAGGAAGGUGGGGAUGACGUCAAGUCCUCAUGGCCCUUACGUGUUGGGCUACACACGUGCUACAAUGGUAUCUACAACAGGAAGCAAGACUGCGAGGUCAAGCAAAUCCUCAAAAGAUACCUCAGUUCGGAUUGCACUCUGCAACUCGAGUGCAUGAAGCUGGAAUUACUAGUAAUCG